GAUGAACGCUGGCGGCGUGCCUAAUACAUGCAAGUCGAGCGAACGGACGAGAAGCUUGCUUCUCUGAUGUUAGCGGCGGACGGGUGAGUAACACGUGGAUAACCUACCUAUAAGACUGGGAUAACUUCGGGAAACCGGAGCUAAUACCGGAUAAUAUUUUGAACCGCAUGGUUCAAAAGUGAAAGACGGUCUUGCUGUCACUUAUAGAUGGAUCCGCGCUGCAUUAGCUAGUUGGUAAGGUAACGGCUUACCAAGGCAACGAUGCAUAGCCGACCUGAGAGGGUGGACCGGCAACACGGAACUGAGACACGGGUCCGGACUCCAAGGGAGGGCGGAGGUGGGAAAUCUUCGGAAAGGGGGGAAGCCUGACGGAGCAACGCCGCGUGAGUGAUGAAGGUCUUCGGAUCGUAAAACUCUGUUAUUAGGGAAGAACAUAUGUGUAAGUAACUGUGCACAUCUUGACGGUACCUAAGCAGAAAGCCACGGCUAACUACGU
rnacentral:rRNA from 1 species